GGUUACAUUGCAUUAUUCUUUUAGUAAGAGUUUUUGGAGUUCUGCGAGAUCAAGUUUUUGAAGUUAUGUAUGUUAGGGUUUUUGGAGUUGUGAGGGUUUGAGAAGAUUGAAGGUGGGGAGUUCUUGGUUUUGCCAAGAGAUUUGCUGUCGAAGCUUCCUCGACUUUUUCAGGUUCUAAUCUUUGGGCUGCAAGAUGCAGGGAAAAACAGAGAAAUGAGACAUCAUGCCUCCAAGUUGUGAAUAAGAAUCUAACAACCAUGAAUGAGCUAUAAGUAGAGGAGAAUGAUAGGUUGCAGAAGCAUGUGUCAUGGCUGUGUAUGAGAACAAUUAUUCCUACCAACAAACUCAAAAUCUGGAAGAACUCCGUGCUGAUAUUGUGGACUUUAAAGAAAUGUAUAGAGAGCAGAUAAACGUGCUUGUGAAUCAGAUUCAGAAAGCAAGUUCACCAACAGGCACCAUCUGAUAAGUCUACUCCUCACUCUGGCCUAUUCCAGCAAGUCAUGAUAUUUUGAUGGUAUAGUUUUCUAGUAUAUGCUGUAAAUUGCUAUCUCAAGAGUGUUUUCUACCAUAUACAUCAUUCAGAGAUCGCGUUUUUGUCUCUUCAAAGAGAUCGGCAGCGGCCUUAUCAGAAACACAUUUGUCAAACUUUAUGUUGUACUAUAAUAUUGUAUAGCAUGAAUCUCUUGAAGGUUUUGGCAUUCUUAAGCUUGAAAGACUGAGUUUUCCCAUUGGUUUAAUAAUUAAACAAGAAGAUCUCAUUCAGGACGAGUUAUGACUGCAUGGUAUGUGACUUUCUUUCCAUGCUGACAUUUGAUCUAGACUUUCAGUCUAUGAUCCUUUCUCUAGAAACCCAAUAUUUGAGAACAUCAAAACCUUUUGGUUUUCUAGGAUCAUAUACAUGCAAUCCAAAAAUUAUUAUUACA